rnacentral:rRNA from 1 species
AGUGAACGCUGGCGGUAGGCCUAACACAUGCAAGUCGAACGGCAGCACAGUAAGAGCUUGCUCUUACGGGUGGCGAGUGGUGGACGGGUGAGGAAUACAUCGGAAUCUACUUUUUCGUGGGGGCUAACGUAGGGAAACUUACCCUAAUACCGCAUACGACCUACGGGUGAAAGCAGGGGAUCUUCGGACCUUGCGCGAUUGAAUGAGCCGAUGUCGGAUUAGCUAGUUGGCGGGGUAAAGGCCCACCAAGGCGACGAUCCGUAGCUGGUCUGAGAGGAUGAUCAGCCACACUGGAGCUGAGACACGGUCCAGACUCCUACGGGAGGCAGCAGUGGGGAAUAUUGGACAAUGGGCGCAAGCCUGAUCCAACCAUGCCGCGUGGGUGAAGAAGGCCUUCGGAUUGUAAAGCCCUUCUGUUGGGAGAGAAGAGCAGCAAGUUAAUACCCCGCUGUUCUGACGGUACCUAAAGAAUAAGCACCGGGUAACUUCGUG